CGCUAUUAUGAAUCAUCAGCUGUCGUCAGAUUUUUAAGGAAAAACAAACCAGCAUUCGAAACGUAGUUGAGGAAAAUUCGUGUAAAUUUCGGUUUUAAACCAAUUCACUAUGUCGGUGAACACGGCCCAUGCCAACAAUGGCGUGCUCAUCCACGCUGGCGAGUACAUCCUGUUGCACAGCGACAGCGUAUCCAUGGAGUUUUCCGGCCAGGACAGCCCCAUCUUCAAGGGCUCAAAGGGGGGCAGAAUCUACCUGACCUCCCACCGGAUGAUCUUCAACAACAAGAAGUCUUCGGAUGCCAUGCAGUCGUUUAGUGCUCCGUUUGUCGCCCUGUCGGACGUGGAGAUUGAGCAGCCGGUUUUCGGGGCCAACUACAUCAAGGGAAAGGUGCGCGCCCAGCCCAACGGCAACUAUGUGGGAGAGGUCAAGUUCAAGCUCCACUUCAAGGCCGGCGGUGCUAUAGAAUAUGGCCAAGCUCUGUUGCGCUCCGCCAAGACGGCAAUGAACAACUAUCAUCGAGGCGGUCUUGCUGGCGAUGAUCCGCCACCUUACCAGCCGGCUGGAGCUUGGAACGAGGCACCACCACCGGCAUACCAGCCGCCACCAGGUUACUACGGCUGGCUGCCGCAGCAUGACGCCUUCAGUGGCCCGGCUCCGAAUACGGUGUUUAUGAGCGACAAUCCGCCGCCAUAUCCGGGUAUUGCACCACCGGCACCCUACCAACAGCCAGCACAACCACAGCAGCCGCAGGCACCGCCGCCGUCUGAACCUACUUGGUAUGGUUUUUCAGCACCGCCACCACAGCAGCCGCAACAGCCGGGCUAUGGACAGCAGCAGCCAGGUUUCGGGCAGCAACAGCCCGGCUAUGGACAGCAGCAGGGCUGGGCCGGCGGCUAUGUUCAGCCACCGCCCUACGCCGCUUGUGGACCGGCGAAUUGCCCACCGGGUGCUCCGUAUACGCAACCGGCCCAGACCUAUAAUGGACCACCGCCGUACGGUGGCUAUGGUAAUGUGCCCGGCGGAUUCAACACCCCGGGACUUCAGCAGCCGAACGGUUAUCCAGGUGGAGCACCGCCACCUAAUCAGCAGCCUUCGCAGGCUGCAGGUGCCGCUGGAGGAACUGCCGCUGCGGGAGUGAACUUUAUGGGCUUCAGCCUGCCACCAGGAAUUUUAACAUUUUCUGAAGGAGCCUUUCAAAAAAAGAAUGACAAGUAAUCAAAAAGAAAUAUUCAAAAACGUAUCAAGCGGAUAGUAAAGCAUGCACAUAAAACAGAAGCCAUCAAGUAUAAGUAGUAGCAUUAAACAUCAAGAAGUGUUUAAAAAUGAAUAGUGUAGAACCUAAAUGAUCCUAUUGUUAUGAAAAACUAAUCAAGAGAUGUCAAAAACCAUCAAAAACUGUAUAAACUAUCUAAAAUCGCAGCAAGAAACUUUCAGAUAACUUUAUUUGAAUUCUUAUUUGACCAAAUUGUAAGAAUAUAUGUUAAAAUGUAGUUUGUUGAAAAAAUUCCCAUAUACAAGAAGAAUAAACUGGUGUUUAAGUUUUAAUUCCAAAGAAGCAGAGGCGGCAGCAAGUGCAUAU